rnacentral:lncRNA from 1 species
AUUUGAGGCCACCCAGAGCUACACAAAACUCGAACAUAGAAAAAUACCAUGUGAGGAGAGAGGGCGGAAAAGCACAGAACAUGCAGAGGUGGCAGCAGCCAAUACCCUCACUACAUGCCAGUUCAGAAAACAGACAAGAGAAAGGUAGCCUGGAUUCAUGCUGCCACCACUCUGGUGCCUCUUCUUUUCUGCAGCAAAAACUUUUCUGCAAGGCCAGUCUGCGGUUUUUAAAUUUAACCGCGGGCGACCAGAGCCUCCAGGACUUUGGCAGAAUCCGGGGUGCGAGCCAGGCGGCCAGAGCGGGUGGCGGGGCACCUGCCCACAAAGGGCUUGGAAGCGUUGCCUCAAGACUGUCAGUCACCACGACGGUCAUCUCUUUACCCAAAGUGACAGGAAUCUUGCAGUCCCCAGCCUGCACUCCGCGCGGAGUUCAGAAUCUCUGCUGGCCCGGGCUCCCAGGUUCUGCAUUCGCUGUCCAGUGGAGCCACAUCAUCACGCGAGCCACGGAGCCGGAGCCGCAGUCAGCGACCACUGUCUUGGGAGUGACCUGGUUCUCACCUCUAGUCUGGGGUCGCACCGGAAGCCGCUAAAGGCAGGGGUGGGUGUGAAACAGGACCAGCGAAGAAUCGCCAGGAACCUUGACCAUCAACAACCGGUUCCUUGGAGAGCGCUAUGGAUAUAUCUUAACUCAAAAUUCCAAAGGAAAUCACACAUUGUUAAACAACAACCCCCAAGGACACAAAGGAACCAAUCUCAAAGAUCGUAUCUGCAAAGGCACUGUCACGCAAAAUGCAUUUCGACUUCCAAGCUCCGGGAAGAGUCAGGAAAGACUCAAAACGAAAGUCCACAAGGAUAUCGAACUACCCAUAAUGAAACAGUUACAGAGACCGGCUCUCCAACGAAAGGCAACUUAGAUGUGAUCUGUGAGUGUGGGGACCGCGUAAUUUUAUAUUCUCGACGGUUUUGUGUAUUGAAGCCAAACUGAUGACCUCUUUCUAGCAAAGUGCAGGGCGCAGACGGCAGCCUGCCCAGAUCACACGUUGCCCUCCAGGUCCAGGCGAUGGUCAUCUGAGUUGAAACGUACUCCGUGCUGAAGGCCACCCGCCACGGCCACCACCGCAAACCUGCCUGGAGAGGCAGGCUUAAAAAACCCUAGUUGGGGCUCUCCAGGGUGUUUGUUCCUGGAAAGAAGACCCAGAGCGCUGCUCUGGGGCUAACGAACUUAGUGGGGCUUAGAGCUUACUGUAAACUGGGGACGGUUUCCGGAAAGUUGUUUGGCCCACAGAAGUUUUAAGAAAUCUUCCUUCCAGACACCCGGGGUCCCAAAUUCAAUUUGCUGAAUGAGAUACAGAUCGGUUGCAAGUGGGAAAGUAGACAAAAAAGAAAUCUUCAAGGUUUAGGGAGGCUUGGAGGGGAGUCCCACUUAGAAGCCCCCUGAGGCUGGUGGCUGAACUGGCUUUGGGUUGCUCCAUCUGCUUAGUGGCGUAAGGGACUACCACUUCCCGGUUAGAUUGCCUGCAGAAUUCCUUCCCUCUUGGAGGUGCUUUGGAAAGAAACUGCAGCUGGAAGCGGUGCACGUUGAAACCUCACAUCCCUGCUCUGGGGUUCAGCUGUGACCCAUCCCUCCCUUCUAACCUGCCACAGCCAGCUGAAGCCCUGGGGUCUUCCGGGUUCGCAAGUGGGAAAUGGGACGGGUUCCCGGUACAAGGGUCCCCUCUUGGCGGAAGAAACUGCGCCAAGGAUCUCCUGCGGCCUGGAGUCCUUCGUUGCUGGGCCACCCGGGAGGGUGGCUGGCCUGGGACGCUGAGGUCACCUUUUCCACCGUGCCUGCCUCUCCCAGAGCGGCCAGUUUCCGGGAUUUUAGUUUAGGCGACAGGCGGGAGGCCCUGGCGGGUAUUAGGCUUAGGACUCAGUGGCUGCGCCUCUAGUGGGGGCUUCCCUUCGUCCUGUGCCGUCCAAGUGGAAGGGGGAACCCCUUUCCUUGU